GCUCCAGUAGCUCAGCGGUUAGAGCGUGCGAUUGCAGUUACGCACUAUUAUCGCAAUGUCCCUUGUUCGAAUCAGGGUUGGAGCU
rnacentral:tRNA from 1 species